rnacentral:tRNA from 1 species
GCGGGGAGAGCUCGGUUGGUUCGAAGCAGCAGAUUGUGGAUCUGAAGGUCGUGGGUUCGAAUCCCAUUCCUCGCCGA